UAAGGCAACACAUCGUUUUGAUAUGCUAAUGAAGGGAUAAUGAGUUAUGACGUCAUAAUAUACGCCCCGCCUAUGUAUUACCAUAUAUAGAACAUAUACCGAAAACAGCAGUUUAAGCAUAAAAUACGGCUUAUUUAAUACUUCAUAAGCAAAAUAUAACUACGAAUCACUCAUGUGUGUUUUUAUAAGUUUACAACAAUCAGAAUAUACGAAGAAUUUCCAUAACGCAUCUGUCGUAUGGGUGUGAAUCUGCGUCCCAAAAGCGCUCAUCAGACGAUGUAAACACGUGUAGCUGGUAUUCCUGAUGAUGGCGAUCUUUUGAUGAUUUAUCAGAGUAAUUUGAAAAGCGUCACACUGAUUUGAAAAAAAAAGGCUGGAAGAAAAUCUGGUACCUGCUUUGUCUUGAGAUUUACAUAAAUGAUGUUCUUAUUGAUGAUCAUUUACCCGCACCCUUAUCCUGGUGUCAUAUACAAGAUGAAAUGAUGGAAAGAAAAACCUGAACUUUAGGAACAGGAAGACUGUGUUUUUGAAGAGAGAAGAGGACCAGAAUUAAGAAGUCAUACAAUAAACACAUUGACAUCAUAAAAAGAAAUUGCAAUUUUGAGUUUGCAUGCAUAUGUCAGGUUAAAAUGUUGUCACAGAAUUUUUUAUCAGAA